GUGAAUGCUAGCGGUGUGCCUAAGGUAUGCAAGUCGAACGAUUCUGCAGCAAUGCAAAGUAGUGGCGAACGGCUGAGUAACACGUGGGAAUCUACCCCUAAGUAAGGCAUAGCCCCUCGAAAGAGGGAGUAAUUCCUUAUGUGAAGGAAACUUCAAAGCGGCAACGCGCUUGGGGAUGAGCCUGCGGCCUAUCAGGUAGUUGGUAAGGUAAAAGCCUACCAAGCCUAUGACGGGUAGCUGGUGUUAGCGCAUGACCAGCCAGAAGGGCACUGAGACACGGGCCUUACUCCUACGGGAGGCAGCAAUCGGGAAUCUUCCACAAUGGACGAAAGUCUGAUGGAGCGACACCGCGUGAGGGAUGACGGCCCUCGGGUUGUAAACCUCGUUAUAAGCACCGGCUAACUACGU
rnacentral:rRNA from 1 species